GGGUUGUGAGGUUAAGCGACUAAGCGUACACGGUGGAUGCCCUGGCAGUCAGAGGCGAUGAAGGGCGUGCUAAUCUGCGAUAAGCGCCGGUAAGGUGAUAUGAACCGUUAUAACCGGCGAUACCCGAAUGGGGAAACCCAGUGUGACUCGUCACACUAUCAUUAACUGAAUCCAUAGGUUAAUGAGGCGAACCGGGGGAACUGAAACAUCUAAGUACCCCGAGGAAAAGAAAUCAACCGAGAUUCCCCCAGUAGCGGCGAGCGAACGGGGAGGAGCCCAGAGCCUGAAUCAGCAUGUGUGUUAGUGGAAGCGUCUGGAAAGGCGCGCGAUACAGGGUGACAGCCCCGUACACAAAAGCGCAUGUGCUGUGAGCUCGAUGAGUAGGGCGGGACACGUGGUAUCCUGUCUGAAUAUGGGGGGACCAUCCUCCAAGGCUAAAUACUCCUGACUGACCGAUAGUGAACCAGUACCGUGAGGGAAAGGCGAAAAGAACCCCGGCGAGGGGAGUGAAAAAGAACCUGAAACCGUGUACGUACAAGCAGUGGGAGCACCCUUCGGGGUGUGACUGCGUACCUUUUGUAUAAUGGGUCAGCGACUUAUAUUCUGUAGCAAGGUUAACCGAAUAGGGGAGCCGGAGGGAAACCGAGUCUUAAC
rnacentral:rRNA from 2 species